GCCGGGUUAGCUCAGUUGGUUAGAGCAUGGUGCUAAUAACACCAAGGUCCCCGGUUCAAUCCCUGCUCACUGCA
rnacentral:tRNA from 1 species